GGAGCAGGAGCCGGAGCCCUGAGGUUCGGGGCCGAGACCCCGGCCCCGCGCCCCGGCCCCGGCGGGUGUGCGCGCUCUCCCGCCACUGCCCGGCGCCCGCGACCAUGCUCCGCGGUUGGGAGGCAGGAACCCAGGCACCCAGCGAUCCCCGGAUAGCCUCUCCCGGGCCGGGCUGGUAUUGAGAUCAAGGCGUCCAGGAUCAAAAGAUCACCGCCUGCCCGCCCCCUCUGCAUCUCCAACUGGCGAGCAGGAGGACCCCCAUCCACACAACGACCCUGACCUGGUCAUGGCGUCCAGCUCCGGCCUGGCGUGAGGACCCCCCAAUCCGCGUGAGGGAGCCCCCAACCCAGACCACACCCUUGAGCCUGAGCCCGACAUUAUUCCUGAGGUGAGAGGUCUGUGUGCCCCUGUGUGUCCCUCUCAGCCUCCCUGAUU
rnacentral:lncRNA from 1 species